GCAAGUAAGCAAUUGCGCUGUGUAACCUAUGGUUAUACAGGCGCAAUUGCUUCUUGAAUCUGGCCCAAGGUUUAUAGGUCGGAGCAAUCAUUGGUUGUAUGUUCUCUGGCCUUUACUAAAUGGGAGGUCCAGCGCCCCUGUGUGGGAAAAGGGUGGAUUGGCAGUGAUCUUUGAAUGGCGGGGCUCCCCCUGUGGUCAGUUGCCUGUAUUUCUACAAUUCUGAAUAGUUUCGAGCUUGGGGAAGAGAUGGACGCUGUGUUUUUCUUAGAGUGCCGAUGAUGUCUCCUUGUAUGUUUGAGGCGAUGCCAGGGUUUAUAGGUCGUAUGUUUACUGGCCUUUGUUAAAUAGGAGGUCCAGCGCCCCUGUGUGUUGGAGGAGGAGAUGGCUCAGAGGCCAAUGGGGGCCUUGAGUUUGAUUCUGAACGUAUUCCUCCUAUUUUCGGUUUAGGUUGAAUUCUGAAAAUGAGAAACUCCUGAAGUAUGAUGGACGAGCACAUUGGUGUGUUGGAGGAGGAGAUGGCUCAGAGGUCACUGGGUGGGGCCUUGAGUUCAAUUCUGACCUUAUUCCUCCUAUUUUUUGUUUUGGUUGAAUCCUGAAAUGAGAAGUAUGAUGGACGAGCACAUUGGUGUGUGAGAGGAGGUGAUGGCUCAGAGGUAAGUUCUCUGGCUUCAGACCCUGGAGCUGUGAGAUCGAAUCCCAGAGCCAACAUCUCCUAGUGACCCUGCAUGGGUUGCCACACCCCCUCAGGGGGGUGGUCACUGGUUCACCCACCAUGGGAUCCUACGUGUGUAUGGGAUCUCAGUACUGAUCCUAAGUGUGCAUGGGAUCUCAGUACUGAGAGCACCUCUUCACCCGACAAACACAGGAACACCUCAGAUACCCAAUGGGGUUGAGCCGAGAUCACCCCCAAAUCACAAACCCAGGAACACCUCCGAUACCCAAUGGGGGCAAGUGGGAGUAAAAAAGAAAAAACUAAUUUUUUUUUGGCACUGUGGUCACCUGAAGGCUUUCCACCUUCUGUGGGGGGUGUAUACUGGUUACCAGAGCGCCCAUGGUUGGAGCCACCUGAAGGUUUUUGCCCUUUCAACCUUCUUGGGCAGGAGCCUGGUCCACAGCUGGAGUCACCUGAGGGUCUUUACCCUCCAUCCAACCCAGAGGGCGCUUGGUGACUUUUACCCUGGGGCCCAGGACACCAGAGGUGAGGUGAGGUGACCUGUCCAGAGUCACCAGGAGAUUGCUCAGGGAUUCGAACUCUCAGCCCUUAUCGUACCACCAGCCCUCGUUGUUGUCUACGAGUCCUCUGAGCCAUCUCCUCCUCACACAGAACAAUGUGCUCGUCCUCCUAUUUCUCCAGAACUGGGACUGGUAGAAUUUUUUAUAAGGUGGUAAAGAAAUGAUUCGAACCCACAGACCUGGCUCUCCAGCCGGAGCACUUACCACACAGCCAACAGCCUCUUGUGUAGUGUUGGGUGUGUUUUCUCCAGGGCAAGGACUCGUGAAAUUAUAGAGUUAAAGAAAUGGUUGAAGGCCACCAUACCUUCUCAGUAUCUAGAGCAUUUACCUUACAGAGUAUGGUGUGUUCAUCCUCCUCCACCUCCUUUUUCUGCAGGACAAGGACUGGUGGGAUUAUUAGAACAUGGUAAAGGAAAGGUUUGAACCCACAGCUCCUUCUCUCCAAUCUCGAAAAGUUACCUCUACACCAUCUCCUCCACCAACGUAGGCUUCCUUAGUUCUGAAUGUUGUUCUCUACAUUGCUCGGUGUAAAACAGCAAUAAGGGGGAUCGAACCCAUGACUAGAAAUCACCAGCCACCUCCAUUACCUGCUGAGCCACCUCUGCCAUGAGCGUCCGGCGCUUAAAAAAAAAAAACUAAAUCCCUUUAAGACGACGAGGUCAUUGUUGAGAGGUAUAGCGCGGUCAUACCCCGAAGGGUCCGACGUUUAGGGCAGUAAUCUUCUUCUUUGUAAUUUAGUGCUGAUCUUCAUCAGGAACAAAAUAAUUCACAGACGUAUCCCUCGCCAUAUAUUUGAUGGGAAUGUAUUUGGUAAUGUGGUCAGGAAGUCGGCGUGUGAUUGGUGGAUGAUGGGUGACGUAGGAGAGGUGUGUGGGGAGAGCUUCAGGUCUGUGGAGAACCAUCUCUCAGUAUGGAGAUGAGUUGUGAUUGGAGGAGAUGGCGCCCCUGGGUGUCGGGACGGGUGAUGUGUUGUACGCUCAUGGGACUCUUAUUAUAAAAUAUAAUCGCCUUUCUCAGGGCUGGCUCGUUCUUGGGUUCAGGGGGCUCGUUCUUGGGUUCAGGGCGGUUCGUUCUUGGGUUCAGGGCGGUUCGUUCUUGGGUUCAGGGCGGUUCCGGGCGGUUCGUUCUUGGGUUCAGGGCGGCUCGUUCUCGGGUUCAGGGCGGCUCGUUCUUAGGUUCUGGGCGGUUCGUUCUUGGGUUCAGGGCAGCUCGUUCUUGGGUUCAGGGCGGCUCGUUCUUGGGUUCUCUUCCCUUUAUAGGGAAGGAUAAGGUUUCCACGUCUCGCAUAUCAGGAAAGGUUUGUGCCGGGUUCUCAGGUGCUGAGAUCUCCUUCUGGAGUCCGAGAUCCGGGUGUAAUAAAGAUGGCGUAACGUGGGAUUGAACUCAGGGCUCCAAAAUCAUCUACCCCCGAGCACUUACCAGUGAGCCACCAGAAACACUCAGCACCAACCACCGUCAGUCUUCUAUAUCAGAAUACAACCCUGAAACUUGACCAAAACCGGGGCUAUUCAUAAAAGAGAAGGGUCUCCCUCAAUGCCUCCUCCCCAGCCGCAGCCCUUAGUUUAAUUUUGCCUUCACUUAGGUGCCAAGGUUAAAAACUAUUAUGUAGGCACUGAAUGGAGGAGGGGUAAGGAGGUAUGUGUUGGGGGGGAUCACAGAUUUACUUUAAGACCCCCAUUACAUUUUUGCAUUGCAAUACUGUUCGCUGUAUCAAGGAAACCCAUUGAAAUGAUUGGGCUGCCUACUUACCCCAACGUCCCAGUUAGGACCUAUAUUUUUUUUUUGGAGCACGUCGCCUCGAAAGGAAUUGCACCACAACGCACAUAUUGUGUUUGGCAGCAUGUUCUUGGAAAUGAAAAUUGGCCCUUGACGAGGAUGCAUCUCCUUUGGGGCCCAUUCACAAUUGUGCGUUAUGGUAACAUGUAUAUACUCAGUGUGUUUGGUGUGAAUGGGCCCUUAGAUGCCCCAACAAAUGUACUGAAAAGGCCUUCACAUUAUGUACUGUAAAGGACUUUACAUUACUAGAAUAUAGAAGUUCUGCUUCUGGUGUAGCACCUCCUUUGAGGUUCCAGUCAGGCCCAGACCGACAUUUCUGGGAAAGGAGAGAAGAGGAAUUGUGAGUUGUUAGGAACACUUGGGGUCUACAGUCUUCUCUCACCGUUUCCCAUCCAGCAGACAGUAUGGUCUGAGCUGGUGCUGCUCUUGUCACAGGAGGCUUUCCUAAUCACAGGCCACACCCCUGAGGAUCAGAGAUGAGAUUUUAGGAUGUCGUAUGGUGCUUUAGUAUUUCCAGCGGACACUAAAAGUGAGCUAGUGCUGCUCAGGUCCCAGGAGGCUUUGCUGGUCACAGGCUAUGCCCCCGAGGAUCAGAGAUCAGUUUCACGGUGCUUUUGUCAUUAAACGGUUGGUCUAUAAGUGCCAUACAAAGUUAGAAAUAUGUACCUGGACUAUAUGGUAACACUGUAGGCCCUUGUAAAGAGAAGCUGCCAGGAGGGCCAUUAUCUGUCUCACUUGGGGCCCUAUCCAGAACUGGAACUGUGAGAAUGGGGGAUUGUUGCAGGGGAAGGGGCCUCUCUGAAACACCCCACACAUUGAGCACCCAUCCCAGAACUAGUGCCACCUCUGAAUUUAAGGGCUGUGCUUGUCUGUGACAGGUCCACUUUAAAGCCUAGUAUUUUCAUUGUUUUUGUAUAGACACAGUAUAUGAUGUGUACACCGCUCCCCCUUCUUCAGCUACAGGAAUCAUUGUUACAUUGUCAUUGGCUAUAAUAAAUACUCGAGAGCAGCCAUUCUCAACCAACCCUAGGGUUCCUCCAGAGGUCGAUAAGGGCUUCUUGAGCUGUGGCUUACUGACCUCCCAUGUGAUGGUGCCGGCUUGGCUCAAGGUCCAACACUGCCUGACAGAGCGCCAUCUCUGUCAAGGGACCAUUCUUCCCACUGUCCACCACCAAAGGAAGGGGCAAUUCCCCAAAUACCACCAAUAGACUACUUUUAGCAAGGGUUCUUUGGGAGUAAAAAGGUUGAGAAGGGCUACUCUAGAGCCCAUAUAAUGUAAGAAGACGUAAAGGCGGAGUUAUACUUAAUAGGGUUCAGAUGUAGGGUGGAGCAGUGCAUGAUAGGUAGAUGUAGGCGGACUCUAUAGAUGUGCCCUUGGCAGUCCUACAAUCAUGUGUCCCCGCUCGGUCCGGCGCAGGGUGAUGGUGUCACCCUCUAGUAGGGGACUACGGGGUGUGAGUCUUCUCUCUCUCUCUGUCGGUUUCUGAUUGUAAAUGUGGUUUGAAAUUUCUGAUUUUACUACAUAGACAUUUUUUUAUAUGAAGCUCAACCAAUCACCUGUGUACAGAAAAUAAAAAUGUCUGCUUAACACAAA